GGCGAGAUGCUCUCUGCUAGGGCAUUUCCACAACAAAUUGGUGCAUUGUGCAAAUGGCUUAAGAGGUUUGCUCUAUGCCUGGGCAUUCGCACAACGAGUUGGUGCAUUGUGCGAAUGGUUGGAGAUGGUUGCUUUCUGCCUAGUGAUUCGAAUAGCGAAUUUGGGCACUAAGUUACUGGUGGUAGCCUGGGAUCACUGCGAGUUU
rnacentral:lncRNA from 1 species